rnacentral:rRNA from 1 species
UACAGAGGUCCCAAGCGUUGUUCGGAUUCACUGGGCGUAAAGGGUGCGUAGGUGGUGAGGUAAGUCGGAUGUGAAAUCUCCAAGCUCAACUUGGAAGCUGCAUUGGAAACUACCUUGCUAGAGGAUUUGAGGGGGGAUUGGAAUACUUGGUGUAGCAGUGAAAUGCGUAGAUAUCAAGUGGAACACCAGUGGCGAAGGCGAAUCCCUGGAAAAUACCUGACACUGAGGCACGAAAGCUAGGGGAGCAAACAGG